rnacentral:tRNA from 1 species
GAGGUAAGAUUUGCUUUACGGCUACGAAGCAAUGCGUAACUUAAUCCAGCAUCAACAUUAAUGCUGCUACCUUCGUAAUCAAGCA